AUACGGAGGAUGCAAGCGUUAUCCGGAUUUAUUGGGUUUAAAGGGUGCGUAGGCGGUUUGUUAAGCGGGAGGUGAAAUGCCGGCGCUCAACGUCGGAAGUGCCUCCCGAACUGGUGGACUUGAAUGACUCUGCCGUGGGAGGAAUGUGUAGUGUAGCGGUGAAAUGCUUAGAGAUUACACAGAACACCGAUUGCGAAGGCAUCUCACGAAGGGCUGAUUGACGCUGAGGCACGAAAGCGUGGGGAUCAAACAGGAUUAGAUACCCUGGUAGUCCACGCAGUAAACGAUGAUGGCUAACCGCUGGAUCCAUCGGUUCAGUGGCCAAGCGAAAGCGAUAAGCCAUCCACCUGGGGAGUACGACCGCAAGGUUGAAACUCAAAUGAAUUGACGGGG
rnacentral:rRNA from 1 species